UACGUAGGGUCCGAGCGUUGUCCGGAAUUAUUGGGCGUAAAGGGCUCGUAGGCGGUUUGUCGCGUCGGGAGUGAAAACACGGGGCUUAACCCCGUGCCUGCUUCCGAUACGGGCAGACUAGAGGUAUGCAGGGGAGAACGGAAUUCCUGGUGUAGCGGUGAAAUGCGCAGAUAUCAGGAAGAACACCGAUGGCGAAAGCAGCUCUCUGGGACGGUACUGACGCUGAGGCGCGAAAGCGUGGGGAGCGAACAGG
rnacentral:rRNA from 1 species